rnacentral:rRNA from 1 species
GACGAACGCUGGCGGCGUGCUUAACACAUGCAAGUCGAACGGAAAGGCCCUGCUCUUGUUGUUUGCUCGAUUGGCGAACGGGUGUGUAACACGUGAGUAACCUGCCCUUGACUUUGUGGUAACUUCAGGAAACUGGGGCUAAUACCGGAUAUAAUCUCCUGCUGCACGUUGGUGGUUGGUAAGUUUCGGCGGUUGGGGAUGGUCUCGCGGCUUAUCCGCUUGUUUGUGUGGUAGUGGCUUACCAAGGGUUUGACGGGUAGCCGGCAUGAGAGGGUUAACGGCCACAUGGGGACUGAGAUACGCCCCAGACUCCUACGGGAGGCAGCAGUGGGAAAUCUUGCACAAUGGGCGGAAGCCUGAUGCAGAAACGCUGCGUGCGGGAUGACGGGCUUCGGGUUGUAAACCGAUUUCGACUGUGACGAAGAGUGAGUGAUGGUAAUGAGUAAAGAAGCACCGGCUAACUACGUG